rnacentral:rRNA from 1 species
AGAGUUUGAUCAUGGCUCAGAUUGAACGCUGGCGGCAGGCCUAACACAUGCAAGUCGAGCGGUAACAGAACUAGCUUGCUAGUUGCUGACGAGCGGCGGACGGGUGAGUAACGCGUAGGAAUCUGCCCGGUAGCGGGGGAUAGCCCAGAGAAAUUUGGAUUAAUACCGCAUACGCCCUACGGGGGAAAGCAGGGGAUCUUCGGACCUUGCGCUAUCGGAUGAGCCUGCGUCGGAUUAGCUAGUUGGUGGGGUAAUGGCCUACCAAGGCGACGAUCCGUAGCUGGUCUGAGAGGAUGAUCAGCCACACCGGAACUGAGACACGGUCCGGACUCCUACGGGAGGCAGCAGUGGGGAAUAUUGCACAAUGGGCGCAAGCCUGAUGCAGCCAUGCCGCGUGUGUGAAGAAGGCCUUCGGGUUGUAAAGCACUUUCAGUAGGGAGGAAAGGUUGUAGAUUAAUACUCUGCAGCUGUGACGUUACCUACAGAAGAAGCACCGGCUAACUCCGUGCCAGCAGCCGCGGUAAUACGGAGGGUGCAAGCGUUAAUCGGAAUUACUGGGCGUAAAGCGCGCGUAGGCGGCUUGUUAAGCCAGAUGUGAAAG